rnacentral:lncRNA from 1 species
CAAACCAUGAAACCAAGGUGGUUAUGGCGGUUCCAGGAGCAGCAGUAGCUAUGGCAGUGGCAGAAGGUUUUAAUUACUAUCAGGAAACAAAGCUUAGCAGGAGAGGAGAGCCAGAGAAGUGACAGGGUAGCUACAGGUUACAACAGAUUUGUGAACUCAGCCAAGCACAAUGGUGGCAGGGCCUAACUGCUACAAAGAAGACAUGUUUUAGACAAUACUCAUGUGUAUGGGCAAAAAACCCAACGACUGUAUUUGUGACUAACUGUAUAACAGGUUAUUUUAGUUUCUGUUCUGUGGAAAGUGUAAAGCAUUCCAACAAAGGGUUUUAAUGUAGAUUUUUUUUUUUUUUGCACUCAUGCUGUUGAUUGUUAAAUGUAACAGUCUGAUCAUGAUGCUGAAUAAAAGUGUCUUU